UCCGUAGGUGAACCUGCGGAAGGAUCAUUACCUAGAGUUGUAGGCUUUGCCUACCAUCUCUUACCCAUGUCUUUUGAGUACCUUCGUUUCCUCGGCGGGUCCGCCCGCCGAUUGGACAAACUUAAACCCUUUGUAAUUGAAAUCAGCGUCUGAAAAAACAUAAUAGUUACAACUUUCAACAACGGAUCUCUUGGUUCUGGCAUCGAUGAAGAACGCAGCGAAAUGCGAUAAGUAGUGUGAAUUGCAGAAUUCAGUGAAUCAUCGAGUCUUUGAACGCACAUUGCGCCCCUUGGUAUUCCAUGGGGCAUGCCUGUUCGAGCGUCAUUUGUACCUUCAAGCUCUGCUUGGUGUUGGGUGUUUGUCUCGCCUCUGCGUGUAGACUCGCCUUAAAACAAUUGGCAGCCGGCGUAUUGAUUUCGGAGCGCAGUACAUCUCGCGCUUUGCACUCAUAACGACGACGUCCAAAAAGUACUUUUUACACUCUUGACCUCGGAUCAGGUAGGGAUACCCGCUGAACUUAAGCAUAUCAAUAAGCGGAGGA
rnacentral:rRNA from 1 species